rnacentral:misc_RNA from 1 species
GUCCGUCGAAGUCGUAGAUGAUUUUCUCACCACCGUGUCAGUCGGUCUACGACCCUUGGGGCUGUCGUCCGAAGGUUUCUUCUUGUCGUCGGUUGGUUGUUUCUUCUGACCUGGUUUCGGGGUCGGUUCUUGUGGCUUUUCGUAAACGAAAGCACCGUUCCAUGUGGAUGAACCAGGUUUCGUAGGACGCGCCGAUUUAUCUUCGGGACUUUUCGGUCUUUCGGGUCUACUUUCGUCAGGUUUUUUCCCAUCUGGACGACGGUCAGAUUCGUCAGGGUGACGCUUGGGCGUUUUCUCGAGGUCGUCCGGCUUCUUGGGCUUCUUAGAAUCGUCCUUUGGUUUCCUUUCGUCAAAAUCUUCGUGAACUAUGAUCUCGGAAAUGACAGACGUUCCAAAUUUCUUCUUGUCACUGACAGAACUCUGCUCGACAACGUAAGUGCUCGUCGUUACAUCAGGUUUGUCUUCGGGCUUGCGAUCUCUGGUACUUUUGUCUGUUGGUUUUUUCUUCUCGUCAGUUGGUUGUUUUUUCUGUCCUGGUUUCGUAGUCGGUUCUUGUGGUUUUUCGUAAACGAAAGCUCCGUUCCAUGUAGAAGAACCAGGUUUCGUUGGCCGAGUCGAUUUGUCUGUAGGACUUUCCGGUCUUUCGGGUCUACUUUCACUCGGUGUCUUCCCAUCCGGGCGAGUCCCAGGUUUGUCAGGAUGACUGUCGUGAGUUUUAUCAAGACCGUGCGGUGUCUUGGGCUUUUUAGAACCGUCUUUUGGCUGUCGAUCGUCAGAUCCUUCGUAAAUUAUUGUUUCGGAAACAACGGUUGAGCCGAAUUUUUUAGAAUCACUCACAGAAAUUUGCUCGACCACGUAGGUGCUGGUCGUCACGUCUUCGGAAAUAUCCCGAACGUUCUUUGAAGUCGUUGAUGAUUUUUGGACUACCGUAUCAGUGGGCUUUCGACCCUUAGGGCUUUCGUCAGUUGGCUUCUUUUUGUUGUCGGUUGGUUCUUUCUUCUGUCCAGGUUUCGGGGUGAGUUCCUGUGGUUUUUCAUAAGUGAAAGAUCCGUCCCAAGUCGAGGAGCCAGGCUUGGUAGGCCGAGCAUUCUUGUCUUCCGGAUGGGGAGUUCCUUUCUCGCUUGGACUUCCCGGCCCUUUGACAAUUUUAUCUCUGGGUAGGGUCCCUUUUUUAUCAGGACUGCCGGGGCGGCGGUUGUCGGUCACCGAAUGAAUACUUUGUCUUUCCACAGGCUUUCCAUCGCGUAUUACCACCGUCUCCGUGGAGGUCGUAGUAAAAUCCACGUCCUUCGAAUCCCGA